GAAAUGCAUGGGCGCAGCCUGAUCCAGCCAUGCCGCGUGAGUGAUGAAGGCCCUAGGGUUGUAAAGCUCUUUCGCCAGGGACGAUAAUGACGGUACCUGGAUAAGAAGCCCCGGCUAACUUCGUGCCAGCAGCCGCGGUAAUCGGU
rnacentral:rRNA from 1 species